rnacentral:rRNA from 1 species
CCUACGGGAGGCAGCAGUGAGGAAUAUUGGUCAAUGGACGCAAGUCUGAACCAGCCAUGCCGCGUGCAGGAAGACGGCCCUAUGAGUUUUAAACUGCUUUUGUACGAGGGAAAACGCAGAUGAGCGUAUCUGUCCGAAAGUACGGUACGAAUAAGGAUAGGCUAACCUCGUUCCAUCAGCCGCGGUAAUACGGAGGGUUCAAGCGUUAUCCGGAUUUAUUGGGUUUAAAGGGUACGUAGGCGGUCUGGUAAGUUAGAGGUGAAAUCCCGAGGCUCAACUUCGGAAUUGCCUCUGAUACUGUUCGGCUAGAGAGUAGUUGCGGUGGGCGGAAUGUAUGGUGUAGCGGUGAAAUGCUUAGAGAUCUUACAGAACACCGAUUGCGAAGGCAGCUUACCAGGCUACUUCUGACGUUGAGGCACGAAAGCGUGGGGAGCAAACAGGAUUAGAUACCCGAGUAGUC